UACGUAGGGUGCAAGCGUUAUCCGGAAUUAUUGGGCGUAAAGCGCACGCAGGUGGCUUCUUAAGUCUGACGUGAAAGCUCCUGGCUUAACCGGGGAGGGUCGUUGGGGACGGCGGGGCUUGAGGGCGGGAGAGGGUGGUGGAAUUCCCGGUGUAGUGGUGAAAUGCGUAGAGAUCGGGAGGAACACCCGUGGCGAAGGCGGCCACCUGGGCCGACCCUGACGCUGAGGCGCGAAGGCGUGGGGAGCGAACGGG
rnacentral:rRNA from 1 species